UACGAAGGGUGCAAGCGUUGCUCGGAAUUAUUGGGCGUAAAGCGCACGUAGGCGGCUUGGCAAGUCGGAUGUGAAAUCCCUCGGCUCAACCAAGGAAGUGCAUCCGAAACUGCCGAGCUUGAGUACUUAAGAGGAUCGCGGAAUUCCCGGUGUAGAGGUGAAAUUCGUAGAUAUCGGGAGGAACACCAGUGGCGAAGGCGGCGAUCUGGGAAGAUACUGACGCUGAGGUGCGAAAGCGUGGGGAGCAAACAGG
rnacentral:rRNA from 1 species